UUAGAGUUUGAUCCUGGCUCAGGACGAACGCUGGCGGCGUGCCUAAUACAUGCAAGUCGAACGCGUCCCGGUUGAUGAGGUUGAGUGCUUGCACUUGAUUAAUUCAACUUGGUGACGAGUGGCGAACUGGUGAGUAACACGUGGGUAACCUGCCCCGAAGCGGGGGAUAACAUUUGGAAACAGGUGCUAAUACCGCAUAACAACCAAAACCUCCUGGUUUUGGUUUAAAAGACGGCUUCGGCUGUCACUUUGGGAUGGACCCGCGGCGUAUUAGCUAGUUGGUGAGGUAACGGCUCACCAAGGCGAUGAUACGUAGCCGACCUGAGAGGGUAAUCGGCCACAUUGGGACUGAGACACGGCCCAAACUCCUACGGGAGGCAGCAGUAGGGAAUCUUCCACAAUGGACGCAAGUCUGAUGGAGCAACGCCGCGUGAGUGAUGAAGGGUUUCGGCUCGUAAAACUCUGUUGUUGGAGAAGAACGGGUGUCAGAGUAACUGUUGACAUCGUGACGGUAUCCAACCAGAAAGCCACGGCUAACUACGUGCCAGCAGCCGCGGUAAUACGUAGGUGGCAAGCGUUGUCCGGAUUUAUUGGGCGUAAAGCGAGCGCAGGCGGUUUUUUAGGUCUGAUGUGAAAGCCUUCGGCUUAACCGGAGAAGUGCAUCGGAAACCGGGAGACUUGAGUGCGGAAGAGGACAGUGGAACUCCAUGUGUAGCGGUGAAAUGCGUAGAUAUAUGGAAGAACACCAGUGGCGAAGGCGGCUGUCUGGUCUGCAACUGACGCUGAGGCUCGAAAGCAUGGGUAGCGAACAGGAUUAGAUACCCUGGUAGUCCAUGCCGUAAACGAUGAGUGCUAAGUGUUGGAGGGUUUCCGCCCUUCAGUGCUGCAGCUAACGCAUUAAGCACUCCGCCUGGGGAGUACGACCGCAAGGUUGAAACUCAAAGGAAUUGACAGGGGCCCGCACAAGCGGUGGAGCAUGUGGUUUAAUUCGAUGCUACGCGAAGAACCUUACCAGGUCUUG
rnacentral:rRNA from 1 species